GACGUAGGGUCCGAGCGUUGUCCGGAGUUACUGGGCGUAAAGGGCGCGUAGGCGGCUUUGUGCGUCACACGUGAAAGCCCCUGGCUUAACCAGGGAGGGUCGUGUGAAACGGCGAAGCUGGAGGCAGAGAGAGGCUGGUGGAAUUCCGGGUGUAGCGGUGGAAUGCGUAGAGAUCCGGAAGAACACCGGUGGCGAAGGCGGCCCGCUGGGCUGUUGCUGACGCUGAGGCGCGACAGCGUGGGGAGCAAACAGG
rnacentral:rRNA from 1 species